rnacentral:rRNA from 1 species
CUACGGGAGGCUCCAGUCGAGAAUAUUCGACAAUGGGCGAAAGCCUGAUCGAGCGACGCCGCGUGCGGGAUGAAGGCCUUAGGGUUGUAAACCGCUUUUAGCCGGGAGAAAGCCGCAAGGCUGAUUGUACCGGCGGAAUAAGGAGAUGCUAACUCUGUGCCAGCAGCAGCGGUAAUACAGAGUCUCCAAGCGUUAUCCGGAUUUAUUGGGCGUAAAGGGUCCGUAGGCGGUUCGUAAAGUUUUUCGUUAAAUAUCCAGGGCUCAACCUUGGAAGUGCGAAAAAAACUAACGAACUAGAGGACGUUAGGGGCUGGCGGAACGUACGGUGUAGGGGUGAAAUCCGUUGAUAUCGUACGGAACACCAAAAGCGAAGGCAGCCAGCUGGGAUUGUCCUGACGCUGAGGGACGAAAGCGUGGGUAGCAAAAAGGAUUAGAUACCCGGGUAGUC